rnacentral:rRNA from 1 species
GUGGGGAAUCUUGCACAAUGGGGGAAACCCUGAUGCAGCGACGCCGCGUGAGCGAUGAAGCCCUUCGGGGUGUAAAGCUCUUUCGGCAGGGACGAUGAUGACGGUACCUGAAGAAGAAGCUGCGGCUAACUACGUGCCAGCAGCCGCGGUAAUACGUAGGCAGCGAGCGUUGUUCGGAGUUACUGGGCGUAAAGCGUGCGUAGGCGGUGGUCCAAGUCUGGUGUGAAAUCUCCCGGCUCAACUGGGAGGGUGCGCCGGAAACUGGGCUGCUGGAGUGCGGGAGAGGCAAGCGGAAUUCCAGGUGUAGCGGUGAAAUGCGUAGAUAUCUGGAGGAACACCCGUGGUGCAGACGGCUUGCUGGACCGUGACUGACGCUGAGGCACGAAAGCGUGGGUAGCAAACAGGAUUAGAUACCCCAGUAGUCC